AACGAACGCUGGCGGCAUGCCUAACACAUGCAAGUCGAACGAGACCUUCGGGUCUAGUGGCGCACGGGUGCGUAACGCGUGGGAAUCUGCCCUUGGGUUCGGAAUAACAGUUAGAAAUGACUGCUAAUACCGGAUAAUGUCUUCGGACCAAAGAUUUAUCGCCCAGGGAUGAGCCCGCGUAGGAUUAGCUAGUUGGUGAGGUAAAGGCUCACCAAGGCGACGAUCCUUAGCUGGUCUGAGAGGAUGAUCAGCCACACUGGGACUGAGACACGGCCCAGACUCCUACGGGAGGCAGCAGUGGGAAUAUUGGACAAUGGCGAAAGCCUGAUCCAGCAAUGCCGCGUGAGUGAUGAAGGCCUUAGGGUUGUAAAGCUCUUUUACCCGGGAUGAUAAUGACAGUACCGGGAGAAUAAGCCCCGGCUAACUCCGUGCCAGCAGCCGCGGUAAU
rnacentral:rRNA from 1 species